rnacentral:rRNA from 1 species
UGGGGAAUUUUGGACAAUGGGGGCAACCCUGAUCCAGCAAUGCCGCGUGUGUGAAGAAGGCCUUCGGGUUGUAAAGCACUUUUGUCAGGGAAGAAACGGUGAAGGCUAAUAUCCUUUGCUAAUGACGGUACCUGAAGAAUAAGGACCGGCUAACUACGUGCCAGCAGCCGCGGUAAUACGUAGGGUCCAAGCGUUAAUCGGAAUUACUGGGCGUAAAGCGUGCGCAGGCGGUUGUGUAAGUCAGAUGUGAAAUCCCCGGGCUUAACCUGGGAAUGGCAUUUGNGACUGCACGGCUAGAGUGUGUCAGAGGGGGGUAGAAUUCCACGUGUAGCAGUGAAAUGCGUAGAGAUGUGGAGGAAUACCGAUGGCGAAGGCAGCCCCCUGGGAUAACACUGACGCUCAUGCACGAAAGCGUGGGGA